rnacentral:rRNA from 1 species
UAGGCGGCCCGUUAAGUCAGAUGUGAAAGCCCCGGGCUCAACCUGGGAACUGCAUCUGAUACUGGCGAGCUUGAGUGCAGUAGAGGGAGGUGGAAUUUCCGGUGUAGCGGUGAAAUGCGUAGAGAUCGGAAGGAACACCAGUGGCGAAGGCGGCCUCCUGGACUGACACUGACGCUGAGGCGCGAAAGCGUGGGUAGCAAACAGGAUUAGAUACCCUGGUAGUCCACGCCGUAAACGAUGUCAACUAGUCGUCGGGUUCCUCUGUGAACUUGGUGACGCAGCUAACGCGCUAAGUUGACCGCCUGGGGAGUACGGCCGCAAAGUUAAAACUCAAAUGAAUUGACGGGGGCCCGCACAAGCGGUGGAGCAUGUGGUUUAAUUCGAUGCAACGCGAAGAACCUUACCAGGCCUUGACAUCCUGCGAACUUUCCAGAGAUGGAUUGGUGCCUUCGGGAGCGCAGUGACAGGUGCUGCAUGGCCGUCGUCAGCUCGUGUCGUGAGAUGUUGGGUUAAGUCCCGUAACGAGCGCAACACCUUGUCCCUAUGUUGCCAACGAAUCGGUUGGGAAAUUUAGGGAGACUGCCGGUGACAAACCGGAGGAAGGUGGGGAUGACGUCAGGUCAUCAUGGCCCUUACGGCCUGGGCUACACACGUGCUACAAUGGCCGGUACAGAGGGCAGCGAAGUCGCGAGGCGGAGCAAAUCUCUCAAAACCGGUCGUAGUCCGGAUUGGAGUCUGCAACUCGACUCCAUGAAGUCGGAAUCGCUAGUAAUCGCGGAUCAGAAU